rnacentral:rRNA from 1 species
AGAACGUCGUGAGACAGUUCGGUCUCUAUCUAUCGUGGGCGCAGGAAAUCUGCGCGGUCCGGACACUAGUACGAGAGGACCGUGUCGGGCAGACCUCCGGUUUGCCGGUUGUGCCGCCAGGUGCACCGCCGGGUAUCCGCGUCUGUACCGGAUAAGCGCUGAAAGCAUCUAAGCGCGAAGCCUUCCGCAAGAUUAGAUUUCCCUGAGGGCCGUCAUAGACGAUGACGUUGAUAGGAUGCAGGUGUAUAGGUGGAGACACCACAGCCGAGCAUUACUAAUUGCCCGAGACUUUCGCGGC